GGGGGUGACUGGCUUUGACAGCGCCCGAGACGACAGGUAAGCAUGCAGAGCAGAGGCACUAAUGCUCUAUAAUCACAAAUGUGUCGACUUAUAAUUGGCGAAAAUAACAAUUACGCUCUCGCUGCUUGAUUUGAAGUACAGUAGAAUCGCUUAAUCUCCGCCCCAAGAUGGCAGAGACGAGACAUUACCCCAUUGCCCCGUCCUGAGACGUUUGGAUAAGGUAGUGCUAAAAAAUUCAGGAAUAAGACACGUUGUUCUCCAAGGCGUGUCCGAAACCAAGGAGAUAAGGCAUGAGUUGGUAGUCUUGAGCCUGCUCAUGCACGAAAACCAAGUCGAUGACUAAGCAUGUAGAAAGCCCGCCGGCUCAGCGUUUGGACGAGGGUUCAAUCCCCUCCACCUCCACUA
rnacentral:tmRNA from 1 species